CUCUUUUCGUCAAAUCUAUUGCCAUUUCGGUUCGCAAUGGCAAUAGCCAUAGAGGGCUAUUGCCAUUUCAGUGUUAAAACCCCAUCUAUCGGCGUUGGCCGUAGAUAGCGAUGGAAUAACUGCCGUUGCCGUUGGUGGCCGUUGGGCCUUCCUUACUUAUUUUAUUUGUUUGUUUAUUAUUUACAAACAUUUAGUUUGAUGGUUAAAUUGAAAUUCUCAUUGUAAAUUCAUUAUCUAAGGUAUAGUUUAACAUAUUCCUUGAAUUUUAACAAAGCCAUAUAUACCACAUGAUUGAAGGCAUAGAAUAACUUAAUAUUUUUGACAGACUUUCAGCUUGUUGUGAGAAACUGCGGAGACGUAAAAUGUGUACGACGCGACAGUUUUUCACAUUUUCGCUGACAAAGGAGUAGACAAGAGUUGCACUGUAUUCCACCAUCAUCCUUCUUGCUUUCCUUCUUGCAAUGACAGUGGAAAGUGUUGAUCUGUUUCUUCGUUUCAACUGACUGACGCCCAUGCAUCUUCAUCAAACAACUUUCGGAAUUCUUCCAACUUUAACUCAGGAUUUUGGACUGCACUGCUGACUUGCGCAGGCAUCUGAAAGACCAUCUCUUCAGUUACAAUGCGCUUCGAAAGAAGUAUUUCUUCGGCUUUUUCCCGUCCGAUAAACCAAGUCAGGAAUACUGCAAUCAAAGAAAAAUAAUUAUUGUGUGUUGGUGAGUAAAAGGAAUCAAUGAUUUUACUUAGUUUUUGAUCUGCCUUUUUUUUUCGAAUGGCUUAGGGGCAUUUUUAUGAUGAUCCAGCCGUCUGGUUCCUCUCGGUCGCCCAGCUCGAGUUUUGGUGUUGGGGAGCAUAAGCAUCAUCAAAUCGUCUUCUACUCUUGGUCUUUUUGGCUCCCGGUUCUCAUCAGAACUACUUUGCUGGUCAUCUGCAGCUUCUGAUGGAGGUUCUAUUGGGCCAUAAGAGUGGUCCAAGUAGAUUGAUGUCAUUCGGGCGUCUGUAUCUGCCGUAGCUCGAACAACUGGAUCUGCCGUAGCUUGAACGACUGGAUCUGCCGGAGCUCGAACGACUGGAUCUGCCGGAGCUUGAACGACUGGAUCUCUUUGAGUUUGAACGAUUGGAUCUGCCAGAGUUUUAUAUUAGUACUUGGAGGUAUCCCUCGAAGGCAGGCAAGGGUAUAUUUUGAAGUUCAUUAGCCAAGGUUUUGGCUAAUUGAAGGGCUCUGCUGUACAUGUCUUCUCGAGUGACCCGAUCUCGAUUUCUUCGUUGUUGAAUUACGACCGGUGACCAAGCUUCCGGGUGUUCGUCUAGUGAAUCCUCGUCCUAAACAUAAACAGAAACGAUGUUAUUAAAGUAAAAUCUCCGCUCUAUCAGAUAGGAAUAAGAGGUGUCGACACGGAAGUCCAAAAUUAUUGAAGAAAGUACAGGAGCAACUAGUUAAAUCCAAAUUAGCAGUGUAACGGCCAGUGUUGGUUGCUGUGAUUAAUUGGUUCCCAUCCUGGCAAGAUGUAGUUGUCGCCUUGAAUUGUUCAAUUACCCGAUCCACCGCAUAAGGCGUAUAGGUUUUACGUAACCGCUCCAGGAUAGGAUGCAACUUCUGAACCGGAAAUCGAAUUUUCAACUCAUUUCCUUUCUUUUUUCGAUCAAACUCUCUCAUUUGGCUAAUGUCAAGCAAUACUUGUAUCAGCUCGGGAAAUCUUACUUGCCGAUUACGGACGUGAAUACCGUUCGAUUCUGUUCGUCGUGUGAUUGUCCAUCAUGAAUAGAGUUCUUCUAUAAAAAACGGCCCAAUAUUCUGUAAUAUUAAACCAAUUGGUUUCGAAAUAAUGCCCAAGUCCGUCGUACGUGCCGUCGUCGUCAUCUUCAUCUAAAAAAUUCCUUUUUUUAAAUAAAGAUUGCCGAUCCAGCGUAGACGGCUUCUUUGAACUGUUGGUAUAUCUCUUCCCGGAGAUUCCGGCUUAACUUGGCUUGGACGAGACGUUUGUCAACAGCAGCCAACGCGUGGAAAAGGCACAAUUUCAAAGACGCUGAGGUGAAAAUGCGUUCUACGGCGUUCAUCUCUUUGCAAUCCUUGUCGGAUUACCUUGGCGAAAAUCUCUAGACCAGCGAAAAUGCUAGCUGUCGUCUCCUCGCGGAGAAACAUGUAGCAAAUAGGUUGUCCAAUGCCAAAAUUAUCUUCUAUAACAAUGGUGUAGAGGGGCAUCCCGGCUUUGUCCACUUUAUAUGUCCCGUCGAUCUCCACCACUUCACCAAAUUUCUUAAAUAAUUCUCUUUGCUCUUGGGACUGGAUGAAAAUCUGUACUAUUUCAUUGUCUUCGUCGUGAACUAUUUUAACUACGUUUCCUGGUCGUUCACGAAAGGCGUCUAAUAGUUCUACAGUAUUCUUCCAUUCAUCUCGUGGCAGUCCUAAAUUGCAACAAGUUUUAAUUGAAUACCAAUUAUAAGUAAAUGACAUAAUGUCUUUACCGAUCACUUUCUGCUUAAUGUUCUGUAUAGUCUUAGGUUUGAGAACAACGUUAAACUCAUCAUACACGCGCUUCCGUACUUUUAAGGGGAUUGCGCCGUCACGCGUUGCAUCAGUGAUGUAUUCUAAAGCAGUAGGAUCUAGAUGUCUGAAAUAUAAAGCAAUCUGUUAAU
rnacentral:lncRNA from 1 species